UACAGAGGGGGCAAGCGUUGUCCGGAUUUACUGGGCGUAAAGAGCGUGUAGGCGGCCACGCAGGUCCGUUGUGAAAACUGGAGGCUCAACCUUCAGACGUCGACGGAAACCGUGUGGCUAGAGUCCGGAAGAGGAGAGUGGAAUUCCUGGUGUAGCGGUGAAAUGCGCAGAUAUCAGGAAGAACACCAAUGGCGAAGGCAGCUCUCUGGGACGGUACUGACGCUGAGACGCGAAAGCGUGGGGAGCAAACAGG
rnacentral:rRNA from 1 species